AUCUGGUUCUCCCUAGUGCUACCUGUCCUUGCUAUAUCUGACUGGUGCCUGUCCUUCCUGUGAUCCUGGUUGUGUCAGAGCUCCUGGGAGUAAAGCUGCCUCUGGGACCCUAAGACUCUGGUGUGACUAAGCCCCUGGAAUCCUAGGAUCCUAGGAUCCUGGGUGUCUUAGAGUGCCUGGGAGUAGCACUUCCUCUGGCUGUUGUAGAACUGGCUGCAGAGUUUGGGUCCAAGUUUGUUUUGUUUUUCAAGACAGGGUCUCUCUGCCUAGCCCUGGUUGUCCUGGAAUUCACUCUGUAGAUCCCAUUUUAAAAUUCUUACAGUAACAUCCUAAUUGAUCUGUGUUAACAGUGAAUAACAGUCAACUCCCACAAUCAGAAAGCCACUUUGUGGCAUUUGAAUGUUUGAAGCUAUUGAUGUGUUUUAAAAAGAUAAAGAGAUAUAAAAUAUAUUCUAUGGGGGUGUGGUGAGGUAUGGGGGAGGGGGAUGCCUCUGUGGGCCCAUGCCAAGGCAUCCCCUUCCCCUGAGGAACCAGUCAAAUGGUAUACUAUAGAAUAGAGUUUAUUCAGGGCAUGGGGAGGGGAGUUAAGAGGAUACUAAAGGCAGAGAAAGGCAGAGAGAGGGAGAAACUUGAGAAGUAGAGCCUGGCCAUGACCAUGAGGAGAGAGGGGUAGAGAGAAUGGGGAGAGAGGGGGAGCAAGAGGGCAAGAGGCAAGGGAGAGAGGCAAGAGAGCAAGAUAAGGAGGAGAGGGCAAUGUUGGCAUUCUGUCUAAACCCCACCCCAUGGUUACCUGGCAACAGCCAGAUAUGCUCCUCCCCACAGUUACCUGGCAACAGCCAGGCCUACCUGGCUAUUGCCAGGUAACUGUGGGGAGGAGCUUAGACAGAAUGCUAACAGCUAUGUUUUUUAUCAUUCCUUCCUUCACACCUUUCUCUUCUCCAUUCUUUGAACCAUUGGCAAAACACCCAACAGACAACAUGAAGGCAGGGAGAUACAUAAUUCUGCCACACACUCCGGUCGAGUCAGCUUGACAGGCUGUGAAGCCUAAAAGCCACUCACGAGGCAGAGUUUCAAGGAAGCUCACCUCCUGGAGUUUAUCCGUAUACUCAUACUCUAUUCCCACGUUAGUCUGGUGUAUGGAUCUACGAGCUCUCUUUUAAUAUUUUAUUAUAAAUGCCUUUUAAGAUUAAAUUCUGUUAUAGUUAGUCUCCCCAGUGUUCCAAGAUCCCAGAAGCUGCUGAGCUUAGAAUCCUGUGAGAAGGCAGCAAGGAAGUUAACUUAUUCAGCAACUAAUUAAGCAUUACAAUAGACAGAGCAGUGGCUCAACUGGUCUGCAGAAAGAGCCAGGGAAUCUCAUUGAGAUGGAAAUCUUCAGUACAGGCUACAUUGCAUAUUAGAAGCAAGUUAGUUGGUAUAUUCUCCUGACAAAUGGAGAUACUUAAAAGUUACACUCAUAUAAGAAUUUAGCAAGGCCUAGGAAAUUAGGGGGGUUGUGAUAUUGCAUUAUUCUUGAGGCCUGCCAAGAGCAGACCCCCCUGGUGCUAGCCUUCACAAGGUUCAAAGGUAUAACACUAGAGUGUGAAAUCCUUGCCUGUCACUAAACUGACCCUAGGCAGGACUGCUUUAUCUUUACUGUAAACAUUUACCUGGUUACUGUAAAUCCUUUUAAAGUCAUUCCUUUGUUUUGUAUCAGGUAACUUCAAUGUACCUUGCCUGCUGUGACUCCCAACCCCUUGUAUUCUCUGUACUAUGAAAAGUUCGAUGCUCGACCUGACAAAUACAUUCAGAUUCUACACAACCUCUCCUGUGUGCAUCUGUCUGUCAUCUCAUCCAACGCUUUGCCCACCUGUGACUAGAGACCCGUUCUACACAGACAUAGGGACCCAGAGGGUCUGCGGCAUAAUUCAAUAUAGCCUGUAGAUAUAUUACCAGUCUUACUACAAGGAUGUCUAGAGUGUCCGCACAGAGGCAAGAAAGGACAUGUUGUUGUUGUUAUUGUUGUUGUUGUUAAUCAUUAUUAAUUAAUAAUAUCUUUCUUCCACAAAACAUCUAAGGCAGCACAGAAAAAGACACAUGGCACUAAAGUGAUCAGAGAACCAGGGUAAGUGCAGAAAAUGAGCCUGGAAGAGGGAUACAUAUACUAUUAGCCAUAAAUGUCAUAUGACUACUAUUGCCAUGAAAGCCAAUUUAUUUCAUUUAUUUAUUUCAUUGUUGUUGGUUUUUUUUUUUUUAUUAUUUUAGCACUGAGGAUUUGUGCAUACUGGCAACUGCACUGUGUCUGAACUAUAACCAUAGCCCUCAUUUUAUUUUUUAUUUUGAGAUAGGGUCUUACUACAGUGCUCAGGCUGACCUUGAACUCACUCUACUGAACAGUGAAGCCCUGGCUUCAUGAUCCUCCUCUCCCUCUGCCCGCAGAUUGUUCAGAUUACUGCCCUGUGCCAGGAGACCUGGCUUUUACUUUAUUUACAAAGAGAUGAACCCUGUGUUAUUUAAACAAUACUUAUUGUAGAAACAAUACUUAUUGUUCUGCAGCUUAUUGUUGAACACCAUAAAUUAUGUUACAAGUACUCUGAGUCACUAAAAAAAAAAAAAA
rnacentral:lncRNA from 1 species